UUAAAACUCAAAUGAAUUGACGGGGGCCCGCACAAGCGGUGGAGCAUGUGGUUUAAUUCGAUGCAACGCGAAGAACCUUACCUGGUCUUGACAUCCACGGAAGUUUUCAGAGAUGAGAAUGUGCCUUCGGGAACCGUGAGACAGGUGCUGCAUGGCUGUCGUCAGCUCGUGUUGUGAAAUGUUGGGUUAAGUCCCGCAACGAGCGCAACCCUUAUCCUUUGUUGCCAGCGGUCCGGCCGGGAACUCAAAGGAGACUGCCAGUGAUAAACUGGAGGAAGGUGGGGAUGACGUCAAGUCAUCAUGGCCCUUACGACCAGGGCUACACACGUGCUACAAUGGCGCAUACAAAGAGAAGCGACCUCGCGAGAGCAAGCGGACCUCAUAAAGUGCGUCGUAGUCCGGAUUGGAGUCUGCAACUCGACUCCAUGAAGUCGGAAUCGCUAGUAAUCGUGGAUCAGAAUGCCACGGUGAAUACGUUCCCGGGCCUUGUACACACCGCCCGUCACACCAUGGGAGUGGGUUGCAAAAGAAGUAGGUAGCUUAACCUUCGGGAGGGCGCUUACCACUUUGUGAUUCAUGACUGGGGUGAAGUCGUAACAAGGUAACCGUAGGGGAACCUGCGGUUGGAUCACCUCCUUA
rnacentral:rRNA from 1 species